CGUAGCACCAUUUUCCCUCCCUCGGCUUUGUCACUUUCUCGGCUUACAAGUGUGGACUUUGAGGAGGGUUGGUGGUGAUUUCUUUGAGGAACACGCUGCGUGGCGGCCGUGGCCGUCCUGUUGGAGCAACAGAGAAAAGCAACAGAUACGGACCCCUGUGGAGCCAGGCCUGGAGGAGGGGGAGCGUCUGGUGGCUGGGCCUGCACCCAUGGGGCGCGGAAGGGGCACCAAUGAACACACCACUCAUAGGAGGAGGCCAAAGGGGUCGGUUGCAGAAAGAGUCGGGUGGCAGCUCGGACACUUGGCGGUCCAGUCCUCGGCUGCAGAAGCUAGCUCUUGACUUUGCAGCCACGGCAACAGCCAAGACAGGAAGCAGGAGCGCUCCCCGCGACUUGACCUGCUUUUAUGGUUUGCUGCGCCCGAGGCCCACAGACGGCGGAGGGGUGAGCUUUACAAGACCACCUGUGUCGCCCUCGGGAGCGCCUAAUGCAGCAGGAUGAUCGGGUGACGAGAGAAGAAGGUGCAAAUAAUGCAAAGCUAAGUGAAAAAAGGUUCCGCGGACACGUCGGACUCCUGCUAAAGUUUAUGGAACUGCAAGCUCUGUGACAAUCUGAGACCAAAGCACCAACAUAUGCUACCAUUACACGUCUUCAGACACGAUGUGGCUCUAGGGCAGGGGUGUCCAAACUUUUUCCAUCGAGGCCCACAUAGUGAAAAAUGAAAGUUACAGUGGUGUGACUCCUGAUUUCUUAUUGUUUGUCACACUUAAAUCAAACAAAGAUCAUGAAACAAAUGUAAAUAUUCGUCAAUGACAACACAGCUGAACACAAAAUGCACUUUUUAAAUGAAACCUGUUAUCAUUAAGGCCCCCUAAAGCUAAUACCUGGUUGGGCCCCCCUUAGCAGCAACAACUGCAAUCAACUUGCAAUAGAGUCUCUUCCAGCACUGGGGAGGAAUUUUGCAGAGUUGUUGUCAUUCAGAGGCUUUUCCAGCAUGAAACGCCUUGAAGCUAGCAUGGUUGCUGUUGGCACUGUUAGCACUGUAGCUCUUGAAAACGCUCACCUAACUAUUGAAUGCAGACACAAGGAGAGUAUGACACUCAGGUGAAACAAGAACAGCAACCAGGACACAGUGGGUGACCUUUUCUUCCAAAACACUUCCAGUGAUUAGAGGUCCCCUAUUUAGCAAAAUGGACUUUUAAUGGUGUUGUAACAGCAAUGUGUGUCCCCAGCCAAGUAUGCACCCACCACUCGCAAGUCUUAAUAAUACAGGCUUCGCUGCACAUCUUAAAAUAAAGCUGUGGCAACUACAAUAGGCUGAGGUAGAACGACAUCGCAGUUAGCAUUUGUGUUUUGUGUCAACCAUACGUAACAUCAGAGCUGCACUGUUCUGUUUCUGGGUGUAAAACAUGUGUCUUGCAUGAUUUCUCUUAUUUUCUUGUCUGCUUGAGUGUUGAGGUGCCACGUUUUGGCUCAAAAGCGCUUGCGGGACUUGGUGGCAAGUGGUGUGCGUAAGCACGCACAGCACGGUGACAUGCAGUCCGGCAGCUAUGCAUGCACGCCGCAUGUGCAGCGUGGAGGUCCCUCUGGCUCCCAUGGUCCUCCCCUCUUCUUCUCCUGCCUCAGCUGCAGGCGCCACCUCCCCUCCCUGGCUUGCAAUAACACUUUUGCGGCUGUGAGGUGUCAGUUAACCCUUCACACGGACCUUUUUGUUUCAUGACUUAUCAGAUAGGUGCGAGUUCCAGGCUGAAUGUGAGCUUUAAAGGCUGGGAUUCAGCCUGGAGGCACCAAAAGAGGCUCGAUUGUUGCUAUGUUUCCGUGUGAUUAGACUUCCAGUAAGAACAAAGUGGAUGUGGUCAGCACCAGAGCGGCUGCAAAUAAAGAAUAGUGAUGAUGUUGAACACAGUGAGGGCUUUUCUUUGUGGAUCCAGGUACAUGCGAUUUCGGUCAGGGUCCUUCUGGACUGUAGGGAGGUGCUGGUGAGCUGCCUUGCCCAGCCAAGCUCUUCCCUUCCGGGACGCUGAGCCAACAGCGCCUGGAUCCUCCAUCCUCCCUCCUCCCCCCCUCCUGCACCUCUCUUCUUCGCUCCCCCUCCUCGGUGCGUUGCCACGUCGCUGAGAGAAUUUCAUAAUAAAGUGUAUUCUCUCUGCCCGGAGGUCAAAGAGCAUCUUGAGCUUUGCAGUGAAUGCGUGCGUCUGCCUGGGAGGGAGCCUUCAAAUAUAUCAUUUCAAGCCGCAAGAUAAACUUCCUGAUGCUCGUGAGUCGAAAUGGUUGGAGUUUUAUGUUUGACUUGUGGAAAUGAGCCAAGAAACCCUUUUCAAAUUGAAUGCACAACAUUUCAGUGCAAUUUAUCAGCAGGCUUGUAGAGUUUUUUAACGUAUGCUCUACUGCCCUCUGGUGGCCCACGGCUUUAAAUACCCAAGUCUUUUCUAUCCUUUGUUGACAGAAAUACAGGAUGUGUUGAAAGUAUACAUGCCGCCCAUAGAAAAUAUAAUUGGUUUGAAAGAAAAUGAUGUUUUAGUUCUGCACAGCAUAUAUUCAAUAUACACCAUUGUUAGCCAUAGAAACAUAUUCAAA